rnacentral:rRNA from 1 species
AAAUUGAAGAGUUUGAUCAUGGCUCAGAUUGAACGCUGGCGGCAGGCCUAACACAUGCAAGUCGAACGGUAACAGGAAGAAGCUUGCUUCUUUGCUGACGAGUGGCGGACGGGUGAGUAAUGUCUGGGAAACUGCCUGAUGGAGGGGGAUAACUACUGGAAACGGUAGCUAAUACCGCAUAACGUCGCAAGACCAAAGAGGGGGACCUUCUGGCCUCUUGCCAUCGGAUGUGCCCAGAUGGGAUUAGCUAGUAGGUGGGGUAACGGCUCACCUAGGCGACGAUCCCUAGCUGGUCUAAGAGGAUGACCAGCCACA